ACCAUGGUUUCAUUAGAAACCAUUCUUAUUUAAAAUGUAGUACAUU
rfam:Gossypium hirsutum cultivar TM-1 unplaced genomic scaffold scaffold1730.1, whole genome shotgun sequence